CUUUGUUGCCUGCCUUUAGACAAUUUAUGCAUGGCUCUUGAGCAGGUGAUGGCCCUCAUUUUGCCUUAGGAACAAGAUUUUGGUCACAUUCUUUCUAUCAGAUAAUAUAUUAUAAUUUUUUUACUCGACAAAUUCUUUAACUUGUCAUCAACCUCUUUUCUUUUACAAAAUUUAGCUCAGGUGAUAUUGCUGAAUAAUACAA
rnacentral:lncRNA from 1 species